AAGCCACGGUACACCCUAGUGUACGUCUCUAGA
rnacentral:tRNA from 1 species